rnacentral:rRNA from 1 species
GACGAACGCUGGCGGCGUGCUUAACACAUGCAAGUCGAACGGAAAGGCCUGCUUUCCCUUGUGGAUUGCGGGUACUCGAGUGGCGAACGGGUGAGUAACACGUGAGUGAUCUGCCCCCAACUUGGGUAUAAGCCUGGGAAACUGGGUCUAAUUCCCGAUAGGACUGCAGGGUGGUGCCUGUGGUGGAAAACGAUUUUCUAGUGGUUGGGGAUGAGCUCGCGGCCUAUCAGCUCGUUGGUGGGGUAAUGGCCUACCAAGGCGGCGACGGGUAGCUGGCCUGAGAGGGUGGACGGCCACAUUGGGACUGGGAUACGGCCCAGACUCCUACGGGAGGCAGCAGUGGGGAAUAUUGCACAAUGGGCGGGAGCCUGAUGCAGCGACGCCGCGUGGGGGAUGACGGCCUUCGGGUUGUAAACUCCUUUCGACCGCGAGGAAGCCACCUGGUUGGAAGGGUGGUGACGGUAGUGGUAGAAGAAGCACCGGCUAACUACGUG